rnacentral:rRNA from 1 species
UACGAAGGGGGCUAGCGUUGCUCGGAAUCACUGGGCGUAAAGCGCACGUAGGCGGCUUUUUAAGUCAGGGGUGAAAUCCUGGAGCUCAACUCCAGAACUGCCUUUGAUACUGAGAGGCUUGAGUCCGGGAGAGGUGAGUGGAACUGCGAGUGUAGAGGUGAAAUUCGUAGAUAUUCGCAAGAACACCAGUGGCGAAGGCGGCUCACUGGCCCGGUACUGACGCUGAGGUGCGAAAGCG